rnacentral:misc_RNA from 1 species
GAAAUGCGAUAAGUAAUGUGAAUUGCAGAAUUCAGUGAAUCAUCGAAUCUUUGAACGCACAUUGCGCCCGCCAGUAUUCUGGAGGGCAUGCCUGUCCGAGCGUCAUUUCAACCAUCAAGCCCCCGGGCUUGUGUUGGGGACCUGCGGCUGCCCGCAGGCCCUGAAAACCAGUGGCGGGCUCGCUGUCACACCGAGCGUAGUAGCAAUCACCUCGCUCAGGGCGUGCUGCGGGUUCCGGCCGUUAAACAGCCUUACAAAACCCAAGGUUGACCUCGGAUCAGGUAGGAAGACCCGCUGAACUUAGGC